CUGCGCCCCUGACACGUGAUUUACAGAAACAUUAAACUGUACCACGGAAUGACUAUCAAUGACGUUUAUUAUGGAACAAAAAAGACGGCAAGAUUCAAUUUGUGGCGAUGCAAUGAAUGUGCUCUGUGGCUAUGAAGUAUUAUGAAUAUAAAAUUGGGUAGAUGAUUGCGGUCUGCUGCCCGUGACUGUUGCACGUGCCAGGCAAUGGUUAUUUUUUGACAAGGGAGAAAGAAAAGAACAUCUGUUAUGCUAUAUAUAUAGAGACUUUCGUGAACGGAAUUUCACAACAAAAGAAAUAAAGUUAUUUUGAUUUAUUGAAA